rnacentral:rRNA from 1 species
GAUCGGUUGCUUCCUUAAUCGAUGAAAAGCGGAGCUAGCUCCGUUAU